AAAAAAAAAAAAAAAAAUCUUCCAAAUUAAAAGACAGUCCGAAACCCAAUUGGAGGUCUGAGUCUCAGUGAGUGAGAGUGGCAGAGCGCGCGAAAAUCACCAAAAACAGCGCCUUCUCUUUUCUCCUUCUUCUUCCUUUCUCCUUCCAUUUCUUAUUAUUUCCUCCUCUUUUCUAUUUUACCCAUCUUUUCUCUCGAAUCCCCUCUUCAGAGGGUCCACACUUUCGAACCGUUUCUCCAUUUUUAUUUAUACCCAAAUCCCCUCUCUGUUUCUUCUCCUUCUCUGCCUUCAACCCAUUUCCCCUCUCCCCUUCUCCAUACCCUUUUCAACUGCCUUCUCUCAGCCAUUCAGUGAGUCAGAGGGGGAUAACUCCUCUUUUGACCUUUAUCUUGUCGCCCUGUUCUAAGCUUUUGCAAUGUCAGCUUACAGAGACGAAGAUCCUCGCAUCCAUGGCAUCAGGACUAAGAUUCGUGUUGUCCCUAAUUUCCCUCAACCAGGUAUCAUGUUCCAAGACAUAACCACUCUGCUACUCGACCCAAAAGCAUUCAAAGAUACUAUUGAUUUGUUCGUCGAGCGAUACAAAGGGAAAAACAUUUCAGUUGUUGCAGGUGAAAAAGGAAUUGAAGCUCGAGGUUUUAUAUUUGGCCCUCCAAUUGCAUUAGCUAUAGGAGCAAAAUUUGUUCCUUUAAGGAAACCGAGGAAGCUACCUGGUGAAGUUAUUUCUGAAAAGUACAUAUUGGAAUAUGGAAGUGAUUGCCUGGAGAUGCAUGUUGGAGCCAUCAAACCACAUGAACGGGCUUUGGUGGUGGACGACUUGAUUGCGACAGGUGGCACUCUUCGUGCAGCUAUGAAUUUACUUGAACGUGUUGGAGCGGAAGUAAUUGAAUGUGCUUGCGUCAUUGAAUUGCCAGAUUUAAAGGGUCGGGAACGGUUGAACGAUAAGCCAUUGUUUGUGCUAGUAGAGUACCAAUAAUGCAGGAAGAUGAAAUUCCAUCCAUUGAUGCACCAAAGAUGGAGAUUGCAUCUGAGGAUGGUGAAGAUUGGGAACUAAACUACACACAGGACAAUUGUGAAAUGGAGAAAGUGAAAAGAAGGAGAAACUAAUUGGGUGUUACUUUAAUGCAAAGAACGUUGCUUGGAAGCAUAGAUGUGGAAUUUGAUGUUGAAGAUAAAAGAAAAUCGGUUGGAGAUUUAUAAAUAGAGUGAAGAAUAUAUAUAAUAUGUGUGUGUGUGUAUUGAUAACUUUUUGCAGCUUUGUUAAAUAGGAGAAUUAAAGAGGAAAAAAGUUGGGUGUGAAAGCUGAAAGAUAGUGAAAUGGCAACAUCUAAAUUAGUUUAUUUAUAUGCCUUUCAUUUUCUGUCAAGGAAAGCAAGGUUUGGCCAUUUCAUUACAUUACAACCGUGACUUGCGCUAUACUUAAUGCCUAUUUCUCUGUUACCAUUUUUGGAUUUUAACA